rnacentral:rRNA from 1 species
UUUUUUUUUUUAUAAAAAUGAUAUGCAGGUUCGGUGGUGACAGCGGGAGGGAUCAUUAUAGAGUUGAAAAACUCCCAACCCUUUGUGAACGAACUCCACACAUUGCUUCGGCGGGGAGCCUCUUAGGGGGCCGACCGCCGGAAGGAAAGCAAACUCGUUUAUUUUUGUAUCUCUGGAGUACUUAUUUAAUAAGUUAAAACUUUCAACAACGGAUCUCUUGGUUCUGGCAUCGAUGAAGAACGCAGCGAAAUGCGAUAAAGUAAUGUGAAUUGCAGAAUUCAGUGAAUUCAUCGAAUCUUUGAACGCACAUUGCGCCCCGCCAGUAUUCUGGCGGGGCAUGCCUGUUCGAGCGUCAUUUUCAACCAUCAAGCCCCCAGGCUUGUGUUGGAGCCCUGCGGCUGCCGCAGCCUCCCCAAAAACAGUGGCGGGCUCGCUACCACACCGAGUGCAGUAGUUUACUCUUUCGCUCAGGGCGUGUGGGCGGGCGCUAGCCGUGAAACCCCCCUACUUCUUAAGGUUGACCUCGGAUCAGGUAGGAAUACCCGCUGAACUUAAGCAUAUCAAUAAGCGGAGGAAAAGAAACCAACAGGGAUUGCCCUAGUAACGGCGAGUGAAGCGGCAACAGCUCAAAUUUGAAAUCUGGCUCCGGCCCGAGUUGUAAUUUGCAGAGGAAGCUUCUGGUGAUAUACCGUCUAAGUCCCCUGGAACGGGGUGCCACAGUGGGUGAGAGCCCCAUGUGACGGAUGUAGAUCCUGUGUGAAGCUCCUUCGACGAGUCGAGUAGUUUGGGAAUGCUGCUCAAAAUGGGAGGUAAAAUUCCUUCUAAAGCUAAAUAUUGGCCAGAGACCGAUAGCGCACAAGUAGAGUGAUCGAAAGAUGAAAAGCACUUUGAAAAGAGGGUUAAAACAGCACGUGAAAUUGUUGAAAGGGAAGCGCUUAUGACCAGACUUGCGCUGGGCUGAUCAUCUGGUGUUCUCACCAGUGCACUCGGGCCCAGCUCAGGCCAGCAUCGGUUUUGGGUGGGGGGAUAAAGGCGUAGGGAAAUGUAGCUCCUCCGGGAGUGUUAUAGCCCAGCGUGCAAUACCCCCCGCUGGGACCGAGUUCGCGUCGCAGAUGCGCAUGCUGGGGAAUGGGUCUCACCACCUUUAAAACGGACAAA